rnacentral:lncRNA from 1 species
AUCAAAUAUAUAUAAUGGUGUUGAGAAAUCCAGAUAACUUCAGUUCCUUUGGCUCAAGUUGUCCAUGACCGUGGACACGGUUUUGCACACGUUCCCCACAAGAUUUGAUCGCCUCCGUGUAUGUCCUCGCACUUCAGGGUGUUUGAAGACCGGAUGAUCAAAACAUGGUCUUUCAACGGGUCCCUCUGAAUCCCUGUCGGUGCCCAUCCAUUCCUACCGUUCUUCUACAUCUGCCAGCACCGCCUGUCCAGAGUCGCCGCGUUGUCCAACCAAGCCAGAGCCCAUAAU